rnacentral:rRNA from 1 species
GGACUACCAGGGUAUCUAAUCCCGUUUGCUCCCCACGCUUUCGCGCCUCAGCGUCAGUUCCGGCCCAGGUGGCCGCCUUCGCCACCGGUGUUCCUCCCAAUAUCUACGCAUUUCACCGCUACACUGGGAAUUCCACCACCCUCUUCCGGACUCAAGCCCAGCAGUAUCUCCCGCACGUCCUCAGUUAAGCCGAGGGAUUUCACGAGAGACUUGAAGGACCGCCUACGCGCCCUUUACGCCCAAUAAUUCCGAAUAACGCUUGCCCCCUCUGUAUUACCGCGGCUGCUGGCAC